CAUAAUGUGGGAUAGGGAUGGCAGAGUGAGGGGGGUGACCCUCACUCUGCCAUCCCUAUCCCACAUUAUG